CGGUUUUCUCCGUGAGCUGCAGCAAGCAUGGCUGAAUGUGUUGUGUCUUCAGCAUUUAAUCCUGUGCCAUCCGCGAGAAAUUAAGGCGAAGCAAUGCUUUUUCACCCAGCUUAUGAUACGUGGAAGUCGACAGUAAAUGUUCAAUCUUGCUACACGUCUCCCUCUCAUCAAUUUGCUGUGGUUUACCUUGGUGUUUAGUCGGAGUUGUUACACUUUUGAUGAGAACACUACAGGUAUAUUUGGUGAAAAUGCCUUAAUGCACUGGAAAUAAUACAAAGCUAACUUAAAAGUAACUUUCUACUAUGUGUAGGAGUUGUUUUAAGUCAAUAAUUCCUUAAUAUUGAUGAGAAUUUAGUUUCACUGGCCGAUAAUUUCACUUAUGUGGAAAUAAUUUCAUAUUGUUUGAAAUAAUAAUAGUACUUUUUCAUCAAUGUUAAGGAAUUAUUUACUUAAAAUAAGCUCAAAUUCCUGCUGAAAAGUUACUUUUAAAAAGAAAAAUGUAGCUAACAACCCAAGCCGAGUUAAAGUGGCUGGGCUUUGCUGGGGUUGCUAGGCAACGGCACAGCGCCAAUUGAGUGUGUCUUAAAAAUUGUGAGGUUUUAAAUUGGCUCAUUUUCAAGGCACCAAAAGACAUGAACUUAUUGGCAAAAAA